rnacentral:ncRNA from 1 species
UUAAAGACUGAUGAGGACUAGUAGGUGUGCUUCGCCGUUCAGAAAGCGGAUGGUGGUUGUGAAUCCGUCGGCUGUGCACUGAACUCGUCUCUGAGUUUUUCAACUGAAUUAGAGUAAGUUGAGACGUGAUUUUCGCGUUACGAAAUAAUGAGCGCCCGCGUAUGCGGGAAUGUUAGGUGGUACCGCGGAAAUUCCGUCCUACAA